rnacentral:rRNA from 1 species
AAUGAACGCUGGCGGCGUGCCUAACACAUGCAAGUCGAACGGGAACCCUUGGAUUCGUCUGAGGGGGAGAGCGGCGAACGGGUGAGUAACACGUGGACAACCUACCUGGGAGCGGGGAAUAACUCGGGGAAACCUGAGCUAAUACCGCAUACGCUUUCCGGACUUCGGUUCGGUUUGGAAAGACGGCCUCUUCUUGAAAGCCGUCACUCCCAGAGGGGUCCGCGCCUGAUUAGCUAGUUGGUGAGGUAAUGGCUCACCAAGGCUUCGAUCAGUAGCCGGCCUGAGAGGGCGAUCGGCCACACUGGAACUGAGACACGGUCCAGACUCCUACGGGAGGCAGCAGUAGGGAAUAUUGCGCAAUGGGGGAAACCCUGACGCAGCAACGCCGCGUGGAGAAUGAAGGCCUUCGGGUCGUAAACUUCUGUCAGAUGGGACGAAAAUGCUCGGGCGAAACACCCGGGUCCUUGACGGUACCAUCAGAGGAAGCCCCGGCUAACUCCGUG